UACAGAGGUGGCAAGCGUUGUUCGGAAUUACUGGGCGUAAAGGGCGCGUAGGCGGCCUUCUAAGUCAGACGUGAAAUCCCCCGGCUUAACCUGGGAACUGCGUCUGAUACUGGAAGGCUUGAGUGCGGGAGAGGGAUGUGGAAUUCCAGGUGUAGCGGUGAAAUGCGUAGAUAUCUGGAGGAACACCGGUGGCGAAGGCGGCAUCCUGGACCGACACUGACGCUGAGGAGCGAAAGCGUGGGGAGCGAACAGG
rnacentral:rRNA from 1 species